UUGAGGGCAAGCACAGGGCCACAGUGACCGCAACGCACACAGUAGAGAGAGAGAGGUUAGAGAGAGAAAGACUCGUAAAGACGAGAGGACGAUUCCGACCACAAAAGGGAUGGGAAAAAGCUCAGUUCAAGCCCUCUACGAUCUCUGCAAGAAGACAUUCACUUCCUCCACGCCGACUCCUCCUCCUUCUCACUCCAUCAGAAAGCUCUCCGCUCUCAUGGAUGCAUUUGAACCUGAGGAUGUUGGGCUUAGAGAAGAUUCUUCUGAGGAUCGUGGUCAUGGAUGUUUUGGACAAAAUAGACUAAUGAAUAAUCUUUCGACAAGACUAGCUCGAUGGGCUCAACCAAUCACAUACCUGCACAUACAUGAAUGUAAUAAUUUUACAAUUGGUAUAUUUUGCCUUCCGACUUCAUCAGGUAUUCCUCUCCAUGACCAUCCUGGAAUGACUGUCUGGAGCAAAGUACUUUAUGGAUCCAUGCAUGUCAAAUCCUAUGACUGGGUUGAGCCAGCGUGUAUACGAACAGAGGCCAACUCCCAAUUGAGAUUGGCAAAGUUGAGGGUUGAUAAUGUUUUAACGGCACCAUGUGAGACUUCUGUUUUGUUCCCAAGAAGUGGUGGUAAUAUACAUUGCUUCACUGCUAUUACUUCAUGCGCUGUGCUUGAUGUCCUUGCUCCUCCUUACUCUGAAGCUGCUGGACGGAACUGCACCUACUACAAUGAUUACCCCCUUUCAAGUUUGGAAAAUGGAUUUGAUUUACACGAUGAAGAAAGUUUUGCUUGGCUUGAGGAGGUCGAAGCACCGGACGAUUUUUACAUCCGCUCUGGCAAGUAUAAGGGACCGGCAGUACAACCUUAGUGCCAAUUUGCCACUGGACUUGAUAUUUGCAGUUUACCAUCACACCUUCUAUUUUCGACGGGUUUUCUUUGCAGUGGUUCUACGGCAGGAACAAUGCCAGCCACUAUUAGUAGAACUUAAAGAAUUAUAGAGGAAACUUCAGUGAGUGUGAUCGCUCUCUUAAGGUAUGUAGCUCUAACAAACUGAACCACCCUAAUCUGGCCACUGAGUUGACAUGUAUAGUCUUCUAAGGUUAGGGCCUUCAAACUGUACUUACCCAAAAAACCAAGAAGGAAAGGCCUUCAAACUCCACAUCAUAUAGAUUGCAUUAUUUGCAUAUAUCAGUCUAUUUAUUCAGGCUGAA